GGGGCUGUAGCUCAGAUGGGAGAGCACUUCCAUGGCAUGGAAGGGGUCGAGGGUUCGAAUCCGUCCAGCUCCA
rnacentral:tRNA from 1 species